rnacentral:rRNA from 1 species
GACGAACGCUGGCGGCGUGCUUAACACAUGCAAGUCGAACGGAAAGGCCCUGCUUUUGUGGGGUGCUCGAGUGGCGAACGGGUGAGUAACACGUGAGUAACCUGCCCUUGACUUUGGGAUAACUUCAGGAAACUGGGGCUAAUACCGGAUAGGAGCUCCUGCUGCAUGGUGGGGGUUGGAAAGUUUCGGCGGUUGGGGAUGGACUCGCGGCUUAUCAGCUUGUUGGUGGGGUAGUGGCUUACCAAGGCUUUGACGGGUAGCCGGCCUGAGAGGGUGACCGGCCACAUUGGGACUGGGGUACGGCCCAGACUCCUACGGGAGGCAGCAGUGGGGAAUAUUGCACAAUGGGCGGAAGCCUGAUGCAGCAACGCCGCGUGCGGGAUGACGGCCUGCGGGUUGUAAACCGCUUUCGCCUGUGACGAAGCGUGAGUGACGGUAAUGGGUAAAGAAGCACCGGCUAACUACGUG